rnacentral:rRNA from 1 species
AUUGAACGCUGGCGGCAUGCUUUACACAUGCAAGUCGAACGGUAACAGGGUGCUUGCACCGCUGACGAGUGGCGAACGGGUGAGUAAUGCAUCGGAAUGUACCGUGUAAUGGGGGAUAGCUCGGCGAAAGCCGGAUUAAUACCGCAUACGCCCUGAGGGGGAAAGUGGGGGACCGAAAGGCCUCACGUUAUACGAGCAGCCGAUGUCUGAUUAGCUAGUUGGUGAGGUAAAGGCUCACCAAGGCGUCGAUCAGUAGCGGGUCUGAGAGGAUGAUCCGCCACCCUGGGACUGAGACACGGCCCAGACUCCUACGGGAGGCAGCAGUGGGGAAUUUUGGACAAUGGGCGCAAGCCUGAUCCAGCCAUGCCGCGUGUCUGAAGAAGGCCUUCGGGUUGUAAAGGACUUUUGUCCGGGAGCAAAUCCUAGUGGUUAAUAACCGCUGGGUCUGAGAGUACCGGAAGAAUAAGCACCGGCUAACUACGUG